CAGCCGCCACGGUAAUACAGAGGAUGCAAGCGUUAUCCGGAAUGAUUGGGCGUAAAGUGUCUGUAGGUGGCUUUUCAAGUCCGCCGUCAAAUCCCAGGGCUCAACCCUGGACAGGUGGUGGAAACUACCAAGCUGGAGUAUGGUAGGGGCAGAGGGAAUUUCCGGUGGAGCGGUGAAAUGCAUUGAGAUCGGAAAGAACACCAACGGCGAAAGCACUCUGCUGGGCCGACAUUGACACUGAGAGACGAAAGGUGGGGGAGUAAAUGGGAUUAGAGACCCCUGUAGUCCCUGUCUCUUAUAC
rnacentral:rRNA from 1 species